rnacentral:rRNA from 1 species
AACCCCCGGGCCCCCCCCCCCCCCGGGGCGCGCCCCGGGCGGGGCGGGGGCACGGGGGUUGGAGGGCAAGUCUGGUGCCAGCAGCCGCGGUAAUUCCAGCUCCAAUAGCGUAUAUUAAAGUUGUUGCAGUUAAAAAGCUCGUAGUUGAAUUUCGGGGUCAGCAGGUUGGUCGUGCCAUCUGGUAUGUACUGGUCUCGCUUGAUUCCUCUCUUCUUGAUGAGCGCGUAAUGCC